GCUUGCUCUGCAGAUGUGCUCCUCACCUUGAAAUCCUCCUUGUUGGUUCCCAGCUCCUCACCGUGGCCUGUGCUCUCUGUUUCAGGCUGAGAACAAGGGGAAGCCCCUGCUAGACCAUGAGGUGGCACCUGUGAAUGUUCCAGCUAUUGCUGCUGCCCAUGCUAUUAAGAGAUACGUUGCCCAGGCAGCGGAUGAACUCUCCUUUGAGGUGGGAGACAUCAUCUGUGUCAUUGACAUGCCACCAAAGGAGCUGACCCCCUGGUGGAGAGGCAAGCUCGGCUUCCAGGUUGGAUUUUUCCCAGGGGAGUGUGUGGAACUCAUUAAUAAGAACAUUCCUGAGGCACUCGUCAAUUCUGUGCCAAAGCCAGGUAGGGAUGUUACAUUUGAUGGUGUGGGGAAGCAAAAUGAAGUCUUUUUUGGGGUGUGUUCCAUGUUUAGUACCUCCUUUAUCCAUGCCACAUUGUCCUCUGGGUUGAUGAUUCUUCAUGCACACCAUGGGGCAGAGAUUUGGCCCAGUCCUCCUGUGUUUA